rnacentral:rRNA from 1 species
GACGUAGGGCGCGAGCGUUGUCCGGAAUUAUUGGGCGUAAAGAGCUCGUAGGCGGCUUGUCACGUCGGGUGUGAAAGCCCGGGGCUUAACCCCGGGUCUGCAUUCGAUACGGGCUAGCUAGAGUGUGGUAGGGGAGAUCGGAAUUCCUGGUGUAGCGGUGAAAUGCGCAGAUAUCAGGAGGAACACCGGUGGCGAAGGCGGAUCUCUGGGCCAUUACUGACGCUGAGGAGCGAAAGCGUGGGGAGCGAACAGG